UCAGCCUUCUUAGCCAUCAACAAACUCAUUUACGGCCCUUUACUUGACCCAUGGGAGUAAUCAACCUCAACCAUGAGGGAUCACCCCCAAUGCUGAAAGAUUUGCCAUGUGUAUUUUUUUAAACACAAACUUUUGGCACAAAGUAUUAAACUACUCAAGAUAGAGUGGAAAUUAAGGUGCAUUUACCAAACAAAAUGGCAGACAUACAGGUGAACCUGGCCCUAAAUUUGUAACUGAUUUAUUGAUUAGAGGGUUUCUGUUUUUACCCCCCACCCCAAAGAGUUUAUUAAUAAUAAUGAGAGAGAUGUUAUCUAAAGAAUAGCAGGGAAAAAUAGCAGGACAGUCCAAUCUCUGAGUCCUUUAAUCAAUGUGUUUUAAGGUUUUUCUUCUGUGCUCCAACAGCAAUGUAGAUGUGGCAGGAGAGCCACUGGGACCUAUGCAUGUACUAAAGUGUAGCCUAGCUGGCAGUCACACAAUAUUUCAAGAAUAGCAACAAUUUUGCCAAAGAGAAUUCUUGCCAUAUAUGACCUUGUACUAUGAGUCGUUGCAACCAAAGAACUGUUGCAAGCAAAUUAGUUGUAGAAAUAGGGAGGUGAUUGGCUGAGUUGUCACUGAUAUGACAACUCUUAUGAGUUUUCUGAGCAGUUGACUUGAAACUCUCUGUAAUAUACAUAAUCACAGCAAUCUAUAUAAACUUGAUUUAAUUACAAUUCAAUUUUUUCAAAAAUUUUCAGUGCGCAGGCUUUCAAUUCAUUUGAAGUAUGUGAAAGGUCUGAGAUGUUUGUGUUGUUCUGUUCAUAAGGUUAUGUGGGACAAAGAAAACACAGAUAUAGAUUUCUUAUAUAUUCUGAUUUGGAAUUAAUUUUAAUUCUUAAAUUAAUUAACAGCUUUACUUGCAAAUUCUCAGAAAAUUCAUUCUCAACUCAAGGAGUAAGCAUAGUAAGUUUGGGUAGGAUACACAAAAUAAAGCAGUUGGUUCCCUGCUAAAAAUGCAGAUUGCAACUCACAUCAAGGAGUCUCAGUUAGUCCUUCCAAAUUAUCACAUUUUGCAUUUCUUCCCACUGUAUGCUCUCUAUUUUCCUCAGUGCUUGCUGAAGGACAUCUCUUCACUGUCUUUUGUAUUAUCUGAGCAAAUACACUAACACCCACUGAAAUACAGAAAUGAGCAGAGUUUCAGAGAGAAAGCUUCUUCUUUGCAAGCCUGAAAAGUGAGGUUCUUAAACAGUAGGGUCUGCAGAGAAUGCCUGAGUUUAGAGAAUUAGGAUGUCCAUUUUAAGCCUUCCAACUACAGGCUACUCCAACAACUGUGUACUUACUGAACAGAAGAUGGAAGACAGAGCCUAAGAAGGAAGACUAAGUAUUGUAUCAUUACCAAAAUGCAGCACCUCAUAGAGAGAAAGAUAAACACUGUUCUUACCAGCCAGAUCCUUCAGGAAAAUCCAGAUAACACCACAAUAAGUGGUAAGAAAUCCAGAGAGUCCUAAUAAGAUGGUCCUGGAUGUUUUACCUCUGUCUACUGUUAAAUAAAUCAACCAUGAAAUGGAAUAAUACAGAUUUGGUACUGUAUACAGACUAUAAGAAAUUUUGAAAUCAAAGUGCAAUUGGGUUUUGCUAUAACACUAUCCAAAAGAUGAGACUUUUAUACCGGGUAAUCACUGGAAAGCCUGUUAAUAACAAAUUAUAGUUUUGAAUCAAGGGACAAACCAUAACUCUUUGUUGUGCUGUAUUCUUUCCAUCCACAGUCGUGAACUAACAAUCCUCGGUUGAAAUCCCUCCAUCCUGCAUCAGCUUCUUAAUCAAGUCAGAAGUGUGACAUGAUCAGAACUAUGGAAUUAAAUUAAAUUCUUAGAGUUCUUGCUCAUACAAUUCCUAAAGUAAACCAGGGUCUGUUUUGUGGGAGACCUAAUUAAACAAUCUGCCAGGGAGAGGAUCUUAGCAGCAGGGUUUUGAUUGGACUUGAAUGAGGCAAGGUCAGCACAAAAAGGUCAGAGAGGAGGUUGUAGUAGAUAAGGAGGGAAAUCAUUAUCAGUGUGGACAGAGGAAAAGAUUGGAUUUUGGAUGUUGUGGAGGAAGAAGCAGCAGGGAUGUGGGUAUGGCCUACAGAUGUGGAGCUAAAGAAGGAGGGGGGCUGAGUAAAAAUAUGAUGUGCAAAUUAUAGGUUUGAGAGAGCAGUGGUGACAGAAAGGAAAGCAGGAGUUGGGAGGUGAGUUAAGGUUCCAUUUAAAUACAUGAUAGUACAUCUAGGGAAAACUGACAGAAAGACAGACCAAAUUGGAUGGAGACAGGCCAGGCUAGAAAGAUUAAUGUGUUUGCUACCAACGCAAAGGUGAUAGCUGAAGCAAUGGAAGUAGAUAAAAGGACGGAGAGAUGGGCGGUCAGUGGAAAAGAUGACAAAGAAUAGAUCCGAAAUGGGUAGAAAAUGGGAAAAGAAUCCCUGGAUGAGGUGCUGCAAGAACAAUCAGAAAGGUAAAAGGAGAACCAAAGGAUGAUGGAUGCAUAUUAUGCCCUGCCCAGAAGGUAAAGGAUGCCACGAUUUCAAGCAGCGGCAUACAAUUGAUGGUGCUGAAGGAAGACAGGAAGUGAAGGCAAGUGAAGAUGGCCUAAAAGUUAUAGGGGUUAAGAGGGGCCAUCAGAGACUUUAAUGAGAUCCUGAAGUAAGAGAGAGCCUAGUGGAAGAUGGAUUGGAAAGAGUCUAGGGUGCACUCUGAGGAGGGGAACUUAUGGUAACAGUUGUAGAAAGUGUAUUCAAUUAGUUAGAAUUCAGAAGGCUGUAACUGAAGAGGCAGGUAAAGGCAAGAAUUAGAUUUUUAUAACAGUGACAACCAUAGUGUGAUUGUAUUGUGAGUCAAAGGAAGCUGGAAAGACUGAGAGUCUGCAAAGAAAGGUGAAGGAGGGAGUGAGAGUGGAGACAGGAGAGGUCAGGAGGCAUGAGGGGCUGGGUUUGCUGGGCUAGAUGCACUGGUUAAAAGUAAAAGCAAAACAUAUCAGGAUUGGUAUAAAAAGAGGGAGUGGAAAGGGGGAACAGAAAGGAGCGGAGAAAGGAAGGAUAAUGGCAAAUCUUUACAUAUCUUUGAAGCACUUAAAAGAGCUUGGGUUAGUGCAUUUACCAAGGGCUCAGAAAAGAUAAAUGGGUGGUUUGGAUUGUCUGUAUGGGAGUCAGUGAUGUCACACUACUCAGCAAGGGAGAUGGUACAACUGAAGAAGAGAAGAAUAAAUCUGUUGUGAUGGGAAUCCAGGUGGUGGCAGGACUUUCUACAGAAGAGCUUAGCAAUGCAACAGCAGGAUCAAAGAUGUGGGCAAUGAAGCAAAGGUGUGGUUUCUUGCUACAUUCACAGGGUUAUUCCCCUCCACAAGAGAGACUGCUAGAUGUUUCAAGAGGUACCACAACCUGCUAUAUCCAUGAUAAUGCCAAGUGACUUGCUUUGCUCACCUCAAAUUCAGAGUAAAAGCCAAACUAGAAAUGCACUGGCUGGCAAUAAAAUUAUGGAGGGAUUUUGAAAAAAAUCAGGAGAGACAGAGGCAGGCAACAAUCUGACACAAGAAAAAGGCACAGAGUCAUAUGCCAGGAAGCUGAGAGAGACAGUAGUGGAAUUCAUUCAGGAGAUUUUUUCCUACUGAAAAGGGUAAUGAAGUGCAUGGACAGCAGUAAAAUAUAAGUAAUUUUAACACAAACUAAGCAAAACUUGACCAAAAAAUUAUUUUGGAUACAACUGCUCUUAAAGGCUGAUGAAGACAGGUUUCACAAGGGCCCUGUCUUGUCCUAAAACAUCUAAUUCUCCUUGUUAAAUGCUACUUUAAAGCUUGAAAUAGUUUUAUUUUAAAAAGCUUUCAAGACUAAAUGAUGCUAAAAGCAUUUUCUAUAGCUUGCAUUGCUAUUUAGGAAAGCAUGUUAUUUCUUUUUAAUUUGAUCACUCAUUCCUGAAUAACUUUUCAUGGACUCCAGACACUGCAGUGUGACAGCUAAACCAAGGAGCAUCGGAUGCGAUGGAAUUGCUCUACAAGCAACCUUGCCAAAGGCCCUUUUGCUGCACAAAGCUGGCUCUAUCUUUGUAUAUUGAGGGAGCUAAAUCAAUGUUAAAUGCUUGGCUCUUUUCACAGGACAAUGACCAGGACCUAAGCUGCGUCCUUCCUUUUUGAUUGACACUUGAAACGUUGAGUUGGAAUCAGCCAGAGGCACUGCUACAAGCUUGAAGCCUCUGCUGGGGAUAACAACUGGUGACAUCUGCAGAAAGGCCGACAAAAGGCAGUUGAAAGCCGUGUUUGUUGCUUUCCCCUCUCAGAUCUCCUCUCUUUCAUGGAGCUCCUUACUUGCUUUAAUAUUAUGAUUCAGCACCUGGCUCUUUUGAACCUUGCUUUAAACUUCAAAAGGCGAGGUGGUAUUAACAAACAUGAAACGAAAAAGUG